rnacentral:rRNA from 1 species
GAUGAACGCUGGCGGCGUGCUUAACACAUGCAAGUCGAGCGAUGAAGUUUCCUUCGGGAAACGGAUUAGCGGCGGACGGGUGAGUAACACGUGGGUAAGCUGCCUCAUAGAGUGGAAUAGCCAUCCGAAAGGAAGAUUAAUACCGCAUAACGUUGAAAGAUGGCAUCAACAUUCAACCAAAGGAGUAAUCCGCUAUGAGAUGGACCCGCGGCGCAUUAGCUAGUUGGUGGGGUAACGGCCUACCAAGGCGACGAUGGGUAGCCGACCUGAGAGGGUGAUCGGCCACAUUGGGACUGAGACACGGCCCAGACUCCUACGGGAGGCAGCAGUGGGGAAUAUUGCACAAUGGGGGGAACCCUGAUGCAGCAACGCCGCGUGAGUGAUGAAGGUUUUCGGAUCGUAAAGCUCUGUCUUUGGGGAAGAUAAUGACGGUACCCAAGGAGGAAGCCACGGCUAACUACGUGCCAGCAGCCGCAGUAAAAC